AUGGUGGGUCCUACGGCCGCCGCCGCCAUGAGGGUGCCAGCUGCCUAUGAGUGCCCAACGCCGUCGUUCGCCGGUGUUGAGCCAUGGUUGUUCCAUGCGUCCCUCUUUAAGUGCCACGAGGUCAGCCUGUGGUUCACGCUCCCCAACAUGCUAGCGAACGCCGCCAUCUCACAGCUAGCCUCCAGAUGGCCGACCUUGCUGGAGUCCCUCACCCGCAUGGUCUGGCAGACGGUUGUGGCCACCCUACCGGUGCCCUUCUUGGCUUCACCUCUGGGGUAUGACUUCCCGCCGCACCUCCUCCGCUACGCCAAGUCCAUUAAGCUAGACCUCAAGAUCGGUUGA
rnacentral:rRNA from 1 species